rnacentral:rRNA from 1 species
UAACACGGGGGGAGCAAGCGUUGUUCGGAUUCAUUGGGCGUAAAGAGCUCGUAGGCGGCUUCGUAAGUCAGAGGUGAAAGACCACGGCUCAACCGUGGAAACGCCUUUGAAACUGCGAAGCUUGAGGCCCGGAGAGGAAAGCGGAAUUCCUGGAGUAGCGGUGAAAUGCGUAGAUAUCAGGAGGAACACCGGUGGCGAAGGCGGCUUUCUGGACGGGUUCUGACGCUGAGGAGCGAAAGCUAGGGGAGCGAACAGGAUUAGAUACCCUGGUAGUCCUAGCCGUAAACGAUGGGCACUAGGUGUGGGAGGAUCGACCCCUUCCGUGCCGCAGUUAACGCAUUAAGUGCCCCGCCUGGGGAGUACGACCGCAAGGUUG